AAGCCAAGGGGGAAGGAGCCCUGCUGGAAUGUGCAAAAGAGAAGGGGCCAGACUGCAGGUUCGUGACUUUUGUUACUGCCUACCUUGACAGAGCAGGACAGCAUGAACUACCGGGCUUUCAGCCACAGGUCUUCCCCUGAGAUCUUCCUGCCGUGCCUUGAUGUUGAAAAUGAAGAGAGGAGGCUGCCCUUAGAAGAUGGUCUGUAAGAAGCACACAAAGACCAGGAGAAAGUUCCAGAUAAUGCCUGCACCAGCUCCAUAUGUGGACAUGAAAGAAGCCUAGUAAGAGGGCAAGAGGUUGGGUACUGCCUGAAAGAAGCAAUUUUGUGGGACUCUGAGCAAAGAAA